GGUUCGGGGCGAGGUCAAAGGGCCAGGAAAAAUCCCUAAGUGGUUUACUGUAUAAAUCCAUCCUUUUAUGGAAAUCCCAAGGAAAUCCCAGAACCUUCAGGAAAAAUCGGGGGUUUUAUUUCGGAAAAUCCUCCAUUCUUUCUUUGUGUUCCCAGGGAUUGUGUUCUGCUGGCUGCCCGUGCCCGGACCUGGCUCUCACUACGUGUCCAGGGACCCCCAAAGCCUAGACUCAGCCCCCAGCAGGACUCAGAAGAGGUCGAGCUUAAUAAGAGCUGGGGACAAGAAAGACUAAGCUGUGAAACUGACACUGGACAAAAAAUGGACAAAGCCUCCAUCAUUUGAUCUUGAGAGUCAAUUGAGAUAAGUACAGGUAAAAUGUGAAUAAUCAAAGAAGAGGAGGGUAUGAUGAAGAGCAAUGAAUGGACCCAGGUUCAACUACUGACUCAUUAAAUGGGCAGACUUCUGAUCACUA